GAUGAACGCUAGCGGGAGGCCUAACACAUGCAAGCCGAGCGGUAGAGUUCCUUCGGGGACUUGAGAGCGGCGCACGGGUGCGGAACACGUGUGCAACCUGCCUUUAUCUGGGGGAUAGCCUUUCGAAAGGAAGAUUAAUACCCCAUAAUAUAUUGAUUCGCAUGGAUUGAUAUGGAAAACUCCGGUGGAUAAAGAUGGGCACGCGUAAGAUUAGAUAGUUGGUGAGGUAACGGCUCACCAAGUCAGUGAUCUUUAGGGGGCCUGAGAGGGUGAUCCCCCACACUGGUACUGAGACACGGACCAGACUCCUACGGGAGGCAGCAGUGAGGAAUAUUGGACAAUGGGUGAGAGCCUGAUCCAGCCAUCCCGCGUGAAGGAUGACGGCCCUAUGGGUUGUAAACUUCUUUUGUACAGGGAUAAACCUAGAUACGUGUAUCUAGCUGAAGGUACUGUACGAAUAAGCACCGGCUAACUCCGUGCCAGCAGCCGCGGUAAUAC
rnacentral:rRNA from 1 species